GAUGAACGCUAGCUACAGGCUUAACACAUGCAAGUCGAGGGACCGGCGCACGGGUGAGUAACACGUAUCCCACCUGCCCUUUACUCGGGGAUAGCCUUUCGAAAGCAAGUUUAAUACCCGAUAUAAAGGAUGGGGAUGCGUUCCAUUAGGUUGUUGGUGAGGUAACGGCUCACCAAGCCUUCGAUGGCUAGGGGUUCUGAGAGGAAGGUCCCCAACAUGGGAGCUGAGGCACGGUCCAAACUCCGACGGGAGGGAGCAGUGAGGAAUAGUGGGCAAUGGGCGCUAGCCUGAACCAGCCAAGUAGCGUGAAGGAUGAAGGCUUAUGGGUCGUAAACUUCUGUUAUAUAAGAAUAUUUAUUAUAUGAAUAAGGAUCGGCUAACUCCGUGCCAGCAGCCGCGGUAAUAC
rnacentral:rRNA from 1 species